rnacentral:lncRNA from 1 species
AAAAUUACCUGACGACAAUUUUCGAUAUAAAUAUCGAUUUACGUUUUUCGAAAUAAUAGUCAAUUGAAUGCAUGAUGAUAAUCCAUAAUGAUCCAGGAUGAUCCUAUGCUGCUCAACUGGGCUCACCAUAAAAUUCAAGACUAUUUUGGCGUUUUUCACGCCGUAUCUCUGCCAAUAAUAUGCAAUGUUUGUAAAAGGCUGGAAGCUUGCUAAAAUGUACAGAAAUGCCAAGGUGAGAAAGGGAGCAAGAUUGUGUGAUGAAGAACAGUGUCCAACAUGUAUCAGUGCGUUUGACUGUAUAAAUAGACAUCGGAAUAAAAUAUAAUUAUUUACUUU